ncrna:Acyrthosiphon pisum (pea Type-P1 twister ribozyme ribozyme sequence
UUUUUAAUCAUACCCGUGGAAUUCACGGACAGUCCCAAGUCUGUCAAAAUGAGAGGGAAAA